rnacentral:rRNA from 1 species
UGGGGAAUAUUGCACAAUGGGCGCAAGCCUGAUGCAGCCAUGCCGCGUGUAUGAAGAAGGCCUUCGGGUUGUAAAGUACUUUCAGCGGGGAGGAAGGGAGUAAAGUUAAUACCUUUGCUCAUUGACGUUACCCGCAGAAGAAGCACCGGCUAACUCCGUGCCAGCAGCCGCGGUAAUACGGAGGGUGCAAGCGUUAAUCGGAAUUACUGGGCGUAAAGCGCACGCAGGCGGUUUGUUAAGUCAGAUGUGAAAUCCUCGGGCUCAACCUGGGAACUGCAUCUGAUACUGGCAAGCUUGAGUCUCGUAGAGGGGGGGAGAAUUCCAGGUGUAGCGGUGAAAUGCGUAGAGAUCUGGAGGAAUACCGGUGGCGAAGGCGGCCCCCUGGACGAAGACUGACGCUCAGGUGCGAAAGCGUGGGGAGCAAACAGG